rnacentral:rRNA from 1 species
AUUGAACGCUGGCGGCAUGCCUUACACAUGCAAGUCGAACGGUAACAGGUCUUCGGAUGCUGACGAGUGGCGAACGGGUGAGUAAUACAUCGGAACGUGCCUAGUAGUGGGGGAUAACUACUCGAAAGAGUGGCUAAUACCGCAUGAGAUCUAUGGAUGAAAGCAGGGGAUCGCAAGACCUUGUGCUACUAGAGCGGACGAUGGCAGAUUAGGUAGUUGGUGGGAUAAAAGCUUACCAAGCCGACGAUCUGUAGCUGGUCUGAGAGGACGAUCAGCCACACUGGGACUGAGACACGGCCCAGACUCCUACGGGAGGCAGCAGUGGGGAAUUUUGGACAAUGGGCGCAAGCCUGAUCCAGCAAUGCCGCGUGCAGGAUGAAGGCCUUCGGGUUGUAAACCGCUUUUGUACGGAACGAAAAGCCCUGGGUUAAUACCCUGGGGUCAUGACGGUACCGUAAGAAUAAGCACCGGCUAACUACGUGCCAGCAGCCGCGGUAACAC